GUCCCCUGCCUGAAUCCGAACAUGCUGGCUCCUGAUCCUGGAUUUCCAGCCUCCGGAACUGUGAGAAAUCAAUGUCAGUUGUUGAGAAGCACCCAGUUUAUGGUGUUUUGAGACAGCUGACUGGACUAAGGCAGAACGAAAGAGGGGAAGACUCACUUGUUUCUUCACAGGAUUAAACAGGUGAGCAGGUGGAUGGAAAGAAGGGGGAGGAGGGAAAAGGGGGAAGGGGAGACGGACAGGUCAAAGGAGAGGAGAAAAAUGGACUUUCUUUUUACAUAAUUUUCUGUAUUUCUGCUUUCUGUAAUAAGGUUGAGCUGCUUUUGCAAUAAUAGUAUUACAAUUUAUGUAAAGCACUACAUAAAAAUAUUAAACAAAUCUUCCACUGUGCUCGUCACAAAAGCAUUAGUUAAAGAUCUAACUAGGGAGGCCAGGUGCAGCGGCUCACGCUCCUGACCUCAAGUGAUCUGCCUGCCUCGGCCUCCCAAAGUGCUGGGAUUACAGCCGUGAGCCACCAAGCCCAGCUCCCCCACUCUUGUAUUUUAAUGAGCAGUUAGCAGGUGUUCCACCCGAGGGGGCCUCACCCAGGUGCCAGAGGGAGCACAAGGCCUAGGUUUGUGCAGGCACCGGCUGCAGACUGGCCACAGGGCUCUCCCAUCCUAGGCCCCUCUGGGACAUGCUGGGCACCCCCCGAAGGUUAGCCUGCCAUGAAUGGCCCAGUGAGCUGGGUUUUGGAGUUCAUUUUUAAGGAGCUGUUUAUACUCGGUGAGACAGGAGCAGCCUGACAUGCGCCCAGAACCUCCUGCCCUUGGCCCCACACCGCCCUCCCCACUCUCUCUGCCCUCUCCACACUGUGCUGGUCCCGCUGCCCACUCCUCAGAGACUCACCCCCGGCUGCCUUUUGGUGUCUGGCCAGGUGCAUUAGAGGUCCACCCUUCAGGAUGCACCCCUCUACCCACUACGCCAUGUGCUGACCCCAAAAUCCUGGGGUGCAGAGCCAGAGAGUGGUGAAGACACGCUGGCAGCCCAGAUGUGUGCAGCCCCAGAGCUCUUCCCGUCCCCCCGCAUGCGCGUGGAUAGCAUGGCUGGGACAGAUGCUGGCCUCCAGCCCCACGGUGUGAGGCUCUCUCAGAAUACCUGGGUCCUGGGGAGGCCUCAGCCACCAUUGCCUGUGGGACUGGCCAAGCCGCUCAGCCUCUCUUAAGCCUGCACUCACCUACAGAUAAUGAUCCCUGCCGGGUGAUCAUGAGGGGAUGGCAAAAGAGAAAGUGCCUGGUAAAUGUGUGUGUAAAAGACUGGUAUAGCAGCCCAGUGUGUGCCAGGCUCCUAACCCAGGCAGCCUUAGACAGGGGAGGCCAGGCUCUGAGAGCAGAUGAAACUAGGGUUCAGAGAUUCCACCUGGGAGCAGGGUCAAGCUGCCCUCUGGUGCCCCAUGUUCGCUGCCGGGUCAGAGACACGCCACCUUCCCCCUCGAAAGCGCUUCCUCCCGCAGGGCAAAUGCUUCCGCAGCCCCAGUGGUCAUGCUACCCUGCAGCCACUGUAGCCCCUCAGGCCUCCUCCUUUUUACUUUUUUAAAAAAUUGUAUGAUUUUUAAAUUUUUUGUAGAGACAGGGUCUUGUUAUAUUGUCCAGACUACUCUUGAACUCCUGGGCUCAAUUGAUCCUUCAGCCUUGGCCUCCCAAAGUGCUGGGAUUACAAGCGUUAAGUCACCACGCCCAGCCCAGGACUCCUCCUGAGCCAAGAGGCUGGGGCCUCCAGGUACCAGUAGGGCCGGAGGCCUCAGGAAGCCCCUGGUAAAGGAGCUCCCAGAGCAAACAAGGUGACCAGCGUGCAGCACACAGGCGGGGAGUGGGGCUGUGGGGUAGCCCCUGGGGAGGCUGCACAGAGGAGCUGUUUCCCGCUGCCCCUUCCCAAUGCCAGAGCCCAUCAGGGCCGACACUGCUGCUGCCUGUGGGCAGGACAAGGUGAGGGGCACUUCCUGAGGAAGAGGGGCUUAGAGGCCCUCUCCCCGAACCCUGGGCCAGCCUCUGGGGCUGCCAUCUCACAGACCCUUGAUGUGGGGGCAUGGGCUUCAGCGUGACUCCCUGGCAGGUGCCACGUGCUCAAUGAGCUGAUCUAGGUGCUGAAAGGGAGAUAGCAAGGCGGGCCUGAGCCCUAGCUUGAGGACUUCUGGGGCAUGGCUUGGGGCAGAUAACACAGGCAACUUUGGCAAAAGUAAAGAGAGACUUCCUGGACAUGGGGGCUGUUGCUCUGUACUAGAAUGGGCUGCCAGGUGAUGUGUUCCAGUCGGGUGGCACUGAUUCUCAAGGAGAAUCGCUUGAACCCAGGAGGUGGAGGCUGCAGUGAGCUGAGAUUGCACCAUUGCACUCUAGUCUGGGUGACAGAGUGAGACUGUCUCAAAAAACAAACAGGCCAGACUCGGCGGCUCAUGCCUGUAAUCCCAGCACUUUGGGAGGCUGAGGUGGGCGGAUCACCUGAGGUUGGAAGUUCAAGACCAGCCUGACCAACAGGGUGAAACCCCGUCUCUACUAAAAAUACAAAAUUAGCUGGGCAUGGUGGCACAUGCCUGUAAUCCCAGCUACUCGGGAGGCUGAGGCAGGAGAAUCGCUUGAACCCGGGAGGCGGAGAUUGUGGUGAGCCAAGAUUGCGCCAUUGCACUCCAGCCUGGGCAACAAAAGCAAAACUCCAUCUCAAAAACAAACAAACAAAAAUUGCAAAAAUAGUACACAGUACCACGUACCCUCCACGCAGUUCCCCCUAAUGUUAACGUCUCGCGUACGUAACCGUGGUGCAUUUGUCAAAACUAUGAGAUUAACAUUGAUUCAAUACUAUCACCAACUGCAGACUUUCGGUGGAUUUCACCAGUUUUCCACUAAUGCACUUUUACUAUUUCCGGAUCCAGUCCAGGGCGACCGGGGUGCAUUUAGCCAUCGUGCCUCCUCCGAUGUGAGAUGGUUUCUCAGUUCUUUCUCGGUUUUCAUGACCUUGGCCCUUUUGAAAAGCAGUGACGAGGCAUUUUGUGGGUGUUCCUCCAUUUGGGUUUGUCAGAUGUUUUUUUCAUGAUUAAACUGGAGUUCUGCAUUUUUGGAAAGAAUAACAUGGCGAUGAAGGGCCCUUCCCAUCAUGUCAUAUCAGGAGUAGGUAAUUUCAACACAAUUUAUCACUGGUGAUAUUAACCUUGUUUCUUGAUUGAAAUGAUGACUGCAAGGUUUCUCCACGGCAAAGCUGCUAUCUCCCUUUCCAUACUUUAUUUGUUAGAAAUGUGUCACUAAGUCCAGCCCACACUCAAGGGGAGGAAAAUUAAGCUCCAUUUCGUGGAGGGGAGUUCUCUCCAUAUAUUAUUUGCAAUUCUUCUGUACAGAACUGUACCUUUGCUUCCAUUUGCUUAUUUACAAUGCAUUUUCGUUAUCUCCUGUCCCCUCCCUCUAAGCUGAGUGGCUAGGUGAGCCCCUCCCCUGGGGCAUGUGCUAAGGGAGAGCUCCAUCCCUGUGCUUUCUCCUUGCAUUUCGUGAACUAUACCAUAAUCAUUACUUUCCUUGUGAGCUUCCUUACCAAGGGACAGUUUUUAAAAAGUCAUUUAUUUAGUAGUCAUCGGCAGGCACCUUUGUCAAGUAUUUUUCUGAGCAUGAUCUCAUUUUACUCCCAUGAUGUCCUGUGGUUAUAGUUUCCAUCCCCAUUUUACAGAUGAGAAAACAGGCUCAGAGAGGUUAAGCUACUGGCCCAAGGUCACACAGGAACUGUGUCACACCCCUCUCUCCCCAGUGCCCAGCCCAGUGGCUGGCAGCAUAUCCGGCUCCAACAGGAACUUGCUUACUGAAGAGCAGCCCACACGUGAAUGGGCAUAAAAAAGCAAAACAGCAAACUCCCAGGUGGUUGUCCAUCACUGCCUCUGGGAGUUGAGCCUAUAGUCAGGGAGUUCAGUGAGUUCAGUCCAGGGUCUUGCCCCCUCCUGCCAUGGCCCAACACCAUCAAACAGUAAGAGGGGUCCUUCUUGUAGUAGAGCGACAGCUCCCACUUUUUCUUUUUCUUUUUUUCUUUUUUAUUUUUUUUAAGAUGGAGUCUCACUCUGUUGUCCAGGCUGGAGUGCAGUGGCGUGAUCUCGGCUCACUGCAGCCUCCACCUCCUGGGUUCAAGCGAUUCUCCCACCUCAGCCUUCCAAGUAGCUAGGAUUACAAGUGCACACUACCACACCUGGCUAAUUUUACCCACUUUUUCAAGUUCCCACACAGCAGUGGUAAACUGGGGAGAGGACAGCUAGGGUUAGUGAAAGGAAUGACGAUUCCGUCCAAACUGUGAGUGCCAGAUGAUUGCAGACAGGCAGACUGUGCUUCUCUCAGCUCCCCAUGCCAUGCAGAGUGACCCAGAGUGACCCAACGAGACCCAGCAUGGAUCUAUGAGUGACACUGAGCCAGGAAGGUGUCCAGGGAGGGGCUGCAGACCAACCUGGGCACGAGGCCUCUUUCUAAGCCCACCCUGGUUAAGUGCUUUGCCAGUUUCUAGGUGAGGAUCAGCCUCAGCCUGCACUGGGCCUACUCAGUAAAGGUUUCCACGGUCUUUGGAUUUGGAGCCCCCAAUUUAGGGCAGAGACAAGUAUAAACUGACCAAGCAAUAGAAGAGAUGCCCACAUGAGGACUCCUGGGAGGGGCACUGACUGCAGCCUGGGUGGCGGCUCCUGGGCAGAGGGGGAGCUGCUGUGGCUACGGAACAGGCCAGCAGGAGGAGCCAGUGGUGAUGAGUGCCCUGGUGCCAGGAAAGCCCCUGGCAGAGGGCCUGGCCUGUCUGGGGGAGGCUGGUGACUCCUGGUUCCAAUGUGCUCAGCUCUGAGCCAGAGGCCAGCCUGCCUCAGACGGGGCAUUUCCUUCAAGUGGUUAAAAUUCGUUUUUGUGCUGAGUCAGGAAGCUAGCCGGCUUGGGCCUCCCCACCUCCAACGCUGAGUGGCACACAGUACCAGUCAUCAGCCUAAGCAGAGACCUGGGUAAGUGCCCCCUGGCUCUGCCCAGGGGACAGGAAUGACAGCAGCAUCCCAACAGAUUCCUGCUCAGGCCCCGCAGGGAUCCACACCAAGUCACCCUGUGAGAUGUUUCUCCACUGGUCACUCUGUCAGUGCCUUGAGCUCCUGGCCUGGCUGGCCCUGCUGCCCUGUCUGCGCUGGUGCCAGCACUAUGCUGGGUCACUGGGGAAGUCGGGCUGGCAACAUACCCAGAUGCAAGCAGUUGGCUGAGCAGAUGGGCUGGGUAGCCACGAGGACCCUUGGAAGCCUGCCCUCCCAGGCCAGUCGGCGGUUUGUUCUGUUGCCCAGAGACAUGCUGGCCUCCUGAGGCUUUCUUCUGGGGCUGCUCCUGGGGCACUCUGUCCAAGAGGUGGCAGGGUGGCACUGCAGUGUGGUUCGGGGUGGGACUCAGCGUGAGUCUGGAGGCAGGGCAUCCAGUCAUUCCUCUGCCCACACUUUGAGUAACUAGGACAGGCUGCUUCUGUUCUCUGUGUCUCCAUUUCCCUUUCUGUAAGAUGCAGAGAUUGGACUAAAUCAGUGGUUCUCACUGCCGCGAUUCCUGGACCAGUGGUGUCAACAACAUCUGGGAACUUAUUAGACAUGCAUAUUUGGCCAGGAGCAGUGGCUCACGCCUGUAAUCUCAGCACUUAGGGAAGCCGAGGCCAGCAGAUCACCUGAGGUCAGGAGUUCGAGACCAGCCUGGCCAACACGGCGAACUCCUGUCUCUACUAAAAAUACAAAAAUUAGCCGGGCAUGGUGGUGGGCAUUUGUAAUCUCAGCUACUCGGGAGGCUGAGGCGAGAAAAUUGCUUGAGUCCAGGCAGUGGAGGUUGCAGUGAACUGAGAUGAUGCCAUUGCAUUCCAGCUUGGGUAACAGAGCAAGACUCCGUCUCAAAAAAAAAAAAAAAAAGACAUGCAGAUUCACAGACCCCAGGAAGACCUGCUCAGUCAGCAGCCAGUGGGUAGGCCCGGCAAUCCGUGUUUUAACGCGCCUUCUGGGCUCAUGCUGGAGAACCACUGGCCUGGACAAAGGCCUAAGCGUCUUCCUAGGCUUAUUUCAAUUCACUGGGCACCCACCGCAUAGGAGGGGCUUGUGCCAAGAGCUGGAGAAUGCAAAGGCGGACGAGGUAUGAAGCUGGUACCAAAAGGGCACCUCUGUUUCCUGGGUGGCUACCUCCUAGCUGUCCUUAACACCCAGCUCAAAUGAUGUCUUCUUUGGGCACUGUCCCAGACCAGCCCUCCCACCAGUUCCUCAGACACGAGUAAUCGGGUCCCACCUCUUCCCCCGACGCCUGUGCCAGCACGGCUCUUGGUAUAUAGGAUGUACCAUUGUUUGUGAGUCAGUUUCCUGCUGAACAGUAGGGAUGGGAAGGGCCGAGGGUGGCUCCUGUUCCUCCACGGUCCCACAGCCCUGAGCACCAAGGGGUCCCAUUCCCCAACAUAGACUGUACUAGCCCAGCCUCUGCAAGGCCCCUGCCAAGUGCCCAUGUCCUCAAAGAAGCUUUCAGGGCCCACUACACCCAUAGCCCCAUUCUGGGGCUUUCCUUUGGCAAAAGUUGCAGAUUGGGCCAUGUGGCCCCCCUACUCUGAGCCUAAAAGCCUAAGCCAACCUGGUUCUCCCUCUUGGGAGGUUUGAAGACGUAUCACACAGUGAGGUUGUAGCGCAGCCUGGAGACACAGAAAGAAGGCCGAGUGCAGCCACUGAGGCAGCCAGAACCACGUGGCAGGAGGUGUGUCCAGUGUGGGGAGGGGUAUGGCAGCCACAGCAGGAACAAACUGCACUGGCCUCCUCACCCUCCCUGGAGUGAUGGGACUGAGCACCCCCUUUUGUGCCUGGUGGGAGCUGCCCACAGCCCCCGACUCUGGGCCAGCUUACAAGGACUCAGCACGUGCUCUUAGCAGCCUCUUUUCCAGGGGCAGGCAGCUGGGACAAAGCAGCACUGGACCCGAGCUGGAGGGAUGGAUCCCGGGCCCUCCACUCACUGGCCGACAAUGACGGGCAAGUGGCUUCACCUCUCGUCCCUCAGUGACUUCAUCUAUAAAUGGGGCUGAAAUCAGGGAAUCAAAAGGCAUGAAGAGCUAGCCCCUAGCAUGACACUUGGCCUACUUUUGGUAUUUAAUAAACGUCUUCUGACCUGGUCCUCCUUCGUACCUCAACCACAUCAGACACAGCGUCAUGAUGAUUUUUCCCCUGAGCAAAGUGGCUUUGUGUGAAGUUGCUAGGCCUGAGUUUCCCCAUCUAAAAUACGCAGGUUGACCUGGAUGAUCUGUGCCUCAGCUACACCUACAGACCUCUCUGCUCACCAUCAUGAGUGCCCCUAGCAAAGGGAGACAGGGGCCCUGGGGUGUUGGGAGGAAUGGACACUCAAUUUCCAGUCAGGCAUUGAACAGGUCAGUGGAUUAGUGGGUCUGUGAUUCAUUCAUCCAUCCAUUUUGUCAACCAUUUGUUAGAUCAUUUGUCAACCAGCCAGCCAGCCCAGUGGCUGGUCAGCUCACAGCAUAUUCUGGUCCUUGUACUGCUUCCAGCCCAGUAAACUCAACCAAAGAGAAAGAGAACAGAAGAAUGAGAAUAAACAAACUCCAACUGCCCACAACAACACACUGAGUGAAAGAAGCCAGACCCCAAACUGAACAUACUGUAUGAUUUUCUUUGUAUUAUAAAAGUGUCACACACACACAAAAAGUGUCAGUACAUCCAAAACCAACCGAAAGUGUCAGAAGCCAUGAUAAGGAUUAUCCUAUGCAGGGGAUCAGGGAAACGGUAAGUAGUGACUGGACGGCAGCUCAUGGGGCUUUUGGGAUUCUGGUAAUAUUCUGUUUCUAAAUCUGGGUGCUGGUGACACAGUGUUUGCCUAGCGAAAAUUCAUUGAAUUGUACAUUUAAGUUUUUACACUUUCCUGUAUCUACGCUAUGCUAUAGUUCAAUAAAAAUUUACCCAAAAAAAUAAUAAAAGAAAGAAAAGAAAAGCAAGAAAAAGCAAGGAAAUGCACAGAGCAGUUAACUCAGCAAUUCCAGUUCUAAGAGCUGCUUAUCCUGUAGUUAUCCUUCCAGGUGGGCAAAUGAUGGAGGGGCAUGAUGUUCCUGGAAAACUGGAAACCUAAAAGUCUUGGUUAUUCAACCAGAAUGUUAAAUAAACAACACAUCCAUAUGAUGGAAUAUUACUUAACCAUUACAAAGUAUGAUCGUUAUGUACCAAUUGCAAUAAGCCCUUAGACUGAAAAGUCAGUAAGUGAGCCCAGGAGGUAUACAGCACUACCCUCUGUAGCAGCAAGCGUGCAUAGCCACAGGCUCUCUCUGGAACGACACAGGAGAAAGUGGUGGCAUUCUGGCCUGCAGGCUCACGCUCUCCCCUUAGGGGAUGUUAUCUGUGGCCACAUCCAGUCUGCCUGCCAGACCAUGCUCUUCCCGAGGGUCUACGGAGCCUGGUGCCAGUAGUCUUAGUUCAGUCUCCAAGUGAAUGAUUCGCAAUAGUCUGUAGCUUACAAAUUGCCAUCCCUCUGACUGCGGGCAGGGCCAGAUUCAGGGGUUUGGCGACGACCACAGACUGUCUGUCCAUCUGGAAGAUGGGCUAGAUGUGCGCAGAACAGGGGCUCAUGGCUGAAGAGGGCACAGUUCCCACAUGCGCCUGCUGUCCAAGGAGCAGAAACAGACCCUGGGGCAAGAGAAGCCAGAGUGCCAGUUCAGGGAGAGCUGCUGCCGCCUUCUGUCCUGCAGGAAAGAAGACUUGGCAAGGUCACACCGGCAAAACAAGGAUUUGUAUGCAGGUCUGACUCCAAAGCCCGGGCAUGCUGCCUUCUGCAGAGGCCAAUCAGGGAGGGCUUCACUGGGGAGUCAUAUGCAGUCUUUUUUUCUUUUUUUUUUUCUUUUUUGAGACGGAGUUUCACUCUUGUAGCCCAGGCUGGAGUGCAAUGGCAUGACCUCGGCUCACUGCAACCUCUGCUUCCUGGGUUCAAGCGAUUCUCCUGCCUCAGCCUCCCGAGUAGCUAGGAUUACUGGCUGAUUUUUUGUAUUUUUAGUAGAGACGGGGUUUCACCAUGCUGGCCAGGCUGGCCUCAAACUCCUGACCUCAGGUGAUCUGUCUGCCUCGGCCUCUUGAAGUGCUGGGAUUACAGGCGUGAGCCACCGCGCCCGGCGGUCUCAUGCAGUUUUGCAAAGUCAAAGCAGACGAGGGUUGGCAUGUUCCACGCAGAAGGAAUGCUGUCUAGAAACAGAAGAGAGUGGCGUGACCUUGAGAGUACAGGGUUCUGUAUUGGGUCAGUGGGGGCAGGAAGGCAGCAGGGAAAGCAAUUUGGGAAACUGGUCAGAAAUGAUGCAGGAAGUGCUGGCUGGAGCCUGGCUACAAAGACUCAUGGGUUCCUGGCCAUGGAGCCUGAAGUCAGUCCUAUAACUGUUUGGAUUCCAACUGACGGCUUGAAUACAGGUUCAGCUCCACCUCUGCUUCCAGAAGAUCAUUCUGGCAGUGAGGUGAGGGCAGAUUGUAGGGCGUCUGGCUGGAGGGAGGGAGACCUGUUGGGAGGCAGUGGCAACAAUUCAGGUGAGCAGGUGGUGGCCAGGACAAGGGCUGGCGUGGGUGACAUAAGAGUUUGAGAGGAACUGAGAAGGAAGAAGGGCAUGUAAUUGGCGGAAGACAGCAACUGUGCGAAAGGGAGGAGGUAAAGGUGACGCUCAGGUUUCUAGAUCAAGGAACAGGGUCUCCAGUUGUACCCUUCACGGAGGUGAGAAAUCCAGAUUUGGCUGGAAUCCGAGUUCAGUUUUUUGUUUGUUUUUUUGAGACUGAGUCUCUGACGCCCAGGCUGGAGUGCAGUGGUGCGAUCUCGGCUCACUGCAAUCUCUGCCUCCUGGGUUCAAGCGAUUCUCCUGCCUUAGUCUCCUGAGUAGCUGGGAUUACAGGCGCCUGCCACCGUGCCAGGCUAAUUUUUGUAUUUUUAGAAGAGACGGGGUUUCAUCAUGUUGGCCGGGCUGGUCUUCAACUCCUGACCUCAGGUGAUCCGCCCGCCUCGGCCUCCCAAAGUGCUGGGAUUACAGGCGUGAGCCACCGCGCCCGGCCCUGAGUUCAGUUUUUUUAAGGACACAAUUAGAGGUGCUCACGGGAUGUUCAAGCAGGGAGGCUGGUGGAUACCUUCGAUUCGCUCGUUCACCUACGUGGACUUAUUAAACAGCCAGGCUCCCUGGCCUUGGGAGAGUCCUUCUGGUGGGGAGACAGAUGAUAAAUAACUGAAGUAAUGGAAAAGGGGCAGUUCAAGAAAAGUGUUGUGGAGGAAGAAAACAAGAAAGCCCGCCAGAAGGGGACUGGAGGUCGGCCCCGAGGGUGUGUCCGCUAGAGGGGGCCUCUCCAGGUGGACUGCGGGUGAGAGUAAAGGGGGCAUGUGGGGGAAAAGCAUUCUAGGGAACAGCAAGUGCGAGGACCUGGAGACGGCAGAGGGGCUGGUGGGACAGGCGCCCAAGAGGAGGCCCAGGCUGUCCCUCCGGGGCGUGGGGAGAGGCAUGGGGCUGGGUCCCUGCAGGAGCUCACAAGCCACAGUGGGGAGCAGAAGCGUUACGCUGAGUACAGUGGGAGCCACUGAAAGGGUUAAAGACCCCUGGGGGUGCUGAGUGGGAAGAGGCUCUGGGAGCUGGAGUGGACGCAGGGAGACCAGUUAUAAGGCGAAUGCAGGAGUCCAGGCAAAAGAGAAUAUUCCAGUGUGUAUCUUAAGACUUAACUUUUUACACACAGAACACCCUGCGCCCCUCUCAGAGCCUCCGGGGUCUUCAUGCGAGCAGUUUAUCACGGUUCUUUCGUCUUAAACCCUCUUACUAUUUCAGCAAACACCCUCUCCUCAGCCUGGUCAACCCCUCUGCCCAACCCGAGUGGGCCCCGAAGGAACAAGUGGGGACCAGAGUCCUGCUCAUGUGAGUGGUGGGGCCCAGCCCGUUCCCCUAAGACCAGAAUUCUCUCGCUCAGAGCAAAGCCCCGGGGUGCCGGGAUUCUCUCUCUGCUCCCGCUCCCUGGAUGGAGCUUUUAAAAAAGGAGGAUUCCUCACUGCGGCCUCUGCCCCUUGCACUGAGCGCCAACCCGCAUCACAGCUCAGCAAAGGCGCGCGCAGUGAACAGACGGAGGAGGGGUGGCUCCUCGCUGAGCUGAAGGCUGCGGCGACGAAAAUAAACAGCAUGGUUCCUGCUCUCCACGAACCUGGCGCUGCAGACGUGGGCAAACCACACCAAGAGACGCGAGCAACCGAAAUAUAGGGAGAAAAAAAAAGGUGCCCUGGACAGCGGGCUAGAUGUCUCCUGCAGGCUCGAGGACUUCCCGGAGGGGGCGGCGUUUUCUCGGGGCCUGGGAAGAAUGGGCGGGUUUCAGCGGGCGCCUUCUGGGUGACUGCCCGUUUCGGCUUCCCCUGACCCCGUAACAGAGCGGAAGAGGCCCAGAGACGCCAGAGGAGGGGCGUCAGCGGGACACUCAGGCCAAUAAGCUCUGACUCCCGCUGUCUGCAAAAAUGACCGGAUGCAGGAAUGUCACCUAGAACCGGCCAGCUUUCCGACCUCUCCGGUCAAGGACGCAUUCCUAAGAGACGAAGGGAGAAUGACAGAAGUUAAAAACAACCAAACAAAAGCCAGGUUGAGGCCUCUAGGUGGGUCUCCGCUACCGAUGGAUUCAGCCGGUGGGGCUGCAGGAGGUUCCUAUAAGCGUGGUCCCCUCUCCCCGCACCGAGUCCGGCCC
rnacentral:lncRNA from 1 species